GAUUAGUGGAAAUAGUAUUUCACAAUAUUACUGUUUUAUGGUAUUUUGGAUUAAAUUAAUGCAGCAUGGGGUGAACAUUAAAUACUUUUUUCAAGAACAUUACAAAUCUUCAUUAUUUCAAACAUUUGACCAGUAUAAAUAUAGGGUUGUAGUUAAAACUACACUCAGGCUUCUCAGGCGGGCUUCAUGGCAGCAAAUAUUUUGGCAGUAAGUGCCAUGUACAUCAAAGCAGCAGUUAAAAUACCUAGAGACUCCUGGACAAAGAAAGAACAACAACGACAAAAAAACAACAACACAUGAUGUAACAGAAGUCCAGUGACACCUCCUGACAGCCUCAUCCACUUAAUGUCUCUUUAAGUAAUUCCACUGUCUCCAUUUCUGUUACCAUAUGGCCUUGGUUUACUCCUUCAUAUGACAAUGAAUCCCCGGCAUUUUUUUAUUCUGCAUUUCAGAGCUCUAGGGCUUGUAUCUGAGAAGUAAAAAAAAGGAGUGACAAAGACUGACAAAUACAGUACCAUCAGGAUUUGGUGCUGGAUGGUUCUGAUUUUAGUAGGGGCGGACAGGCAGGAUAACAGAUGGUCAUGUGAUGACAGCAGCAAGUAAUUUACACUAAUAAACAUUUGUCCUGCUUCACAAAGGCACAUAUUAUAUUCAGAACCAUAAGGUAGUCUUCUGAUAUAAAAUGAGGCUUUAUCUAAAGUCAAAGCAAAAGGCUUAAUAACAAGAUUAAUGUUUCUGCCUUUGGUUCUUUAACCUAUGCCAAACAGACAUCAUAAAAAGUCAUCUCUCACUUAAUGAGAUUUUUUUUUUCAGGCAUGACAUUGAAUUAAUGUGUUACAUAUAUACAUUUAAACAUACAUUUAAUAUGCAUUGUGUAUACAUAUCAUUGAUAGCCUAUAUGCAAAGAGUAGAGUAGAUGAAAUACCUCAUAGGAUGAUUUGGAGCUCUUUUCAUGUGCUCAAAUGGUUCUUAGCAUUAGAUUUCUGUGAAAUGUGGAGUGCAGCGCGUGAAGCAGGUCUUUGUGCUGUACAUGAAUAGGGACCAGAAAUUAGUCACUCUUUGAAGUACUUUGAAAACCUUGAACAAAAAGGGACAAAGUUAAUGUAAGUCAUUCAUUAUUAACCCCAACCCCCUCCCCUCCCCACAUGGAAGCCUUAUUGAUUAUCCAUUUUGACAAACAAAUCCUCCUUUAUAGAUUUUGUAUGCAGAACCCAGUUUAAACCAGAUCACUCUUCCAUCUGCCUUUUACUUGAAACAAACCUCAUUUAGUGCUUCAAGAUAAUGCAUGAUUGUUUAAGACAAAAGCUUAAAAUAAAUAAAAAAAAUAAUAUUGGUCACUAUUCAAUGUUAGUAGAUUUUUCUGAUGCUCUAAAGUGAACUUGAGCUUUUACAACCCAUUCCAUGUACAAACCAAGUUUUUUUCUUCUUCAUGUAAUUUCUUCAUUGCUGUGUAAAUUAGCAUACAGUGUCAAUUAAAAUACAUAGAUACAUGGCAGCACUGUCAGUCACAGCUGGUCGACUGUAGUGUUAAAAUCACACAGCAGUCUGUUCUGGAGGGAGAAAAUGAGACACUGGAUUACUCUAAUGGCAAAAUCAUUAAGCACAAGAGACCCUCGGCUUUUACUUGUGAAAAUGGCUCCUGUGAGUGACUCCAUAAUCUCAACUCUGAGUGCUUUUGUGGUGUCUCAUUUCAGCUCCCCUGUGGCCAUUUGUGUAUGCGGCUAGGUGUUUCACUGCAUAUGCAGCAGCGUUAGUCUUCAUGUGUUUGUGUCCACGUGCGUCAUGUGGUGAUGGCUAAUGUUUAUGCUGUACUGUAUUGAUGUCUCCCACUCCUCGUGUUCAGAGUACCAUUAUGGCACUAUUACAGCGUGAAAGUUCUUUGUUCUGCUCGGCCAUGAUGACAGCUGUGGCAUGUUGCUGUCAGAUUUAGAGAUUUAUAUAAUAUGCUGUAGGCUAAUAGCAAAAAAUGGAAGAUGUAUCAAAUGUGGGAAAGGAACACGGCAUGUAACCAUGGGCUGUUUGUUUGACUAGUAUUUUUCAGAUAUUUUUCUUGGACUCUGAGGCUGAAUAAAACCAUGCUCUGAUGCUGUGCUGUUUUAACCCCCAGGGCAGGAGAAUGACUUUCUUGGGGUGGCCUGUGGAGGUCUCUCACAGACCAGUGUUGUUAGACUGUGUGGUGCCUUGGUCAAUGCCCUGCUCUUUUGCUGGAGAUACAGAGGCCUGAGCUUCACUGUUUUGCCUCUUUACUAAAAACCUUUAGAAAAAGGAUGGUGCACUUUUCCACUCACAGCACGAUUCCAAUAUCUAGGAUGCUUCUAAGGAGCUGAGAUACUGCAGAGAAUGAGAUUUGGCCUGUGACAUGGGCAUGUGGAAUCCAGAGAAAGACAUUAUGUUCCAAAUCAUAUAUUGACAAAGAAGCCAUAUGUGUGCCUGACAGACGUUUGAAGACUUUUUAAGGGGCGCCGACUGAUGCAACACUUUUAUUUGUGGUGGAGAGCUGAGCAUGAUUUAAUAACUCAGAUGUGCUGCCUAUAGCUCAGCCAAAGCUCAAGUGUAAUUGAGGUAAAUGAUUGGAUCCGUUUGGAGAGCACUCGUGAAUAACAACCAGCGGCUCUUGUUCAGUAUUCUAAAUCACAUUUAAUAACCAGUCCGUUCUCAAGCUGGUUAAAGUCUUGUGUCCUUAUAAAACCUUCUCACGGUGGAAUAGACUUUGAUUUAAUGGUGAGAGGGUCAGAGAAUGAGUUGUACAGACUGGCUGCCUCUUUUUUUUAGGCUGCUGAUGUUAGGUGAGGUUGUGUUGUCUGUUGUUUUCACCUCACACAUAGGCUAGUUUAACGUCAAAGGCGCAAUGUUUUUCCAAUAGGUGAACCUCUGGAAAUCACAUCCUCUGAGCCUCUGUCACCUUUAAUGUUACUGCUAAUGUUUUCACAUGGUUGUUUUUUUCUUCUACUUGCUGUACAGGUAGAUCAGUAUAACAUGUUUGUUUUUCUGUUUCAGUUCAUUUGUGUAAUACCCAUGUGAUUUUAUGUCUUUUUUUUCAUGUAUAAAAAAAUAUAAAAUCUAUAAAUUAAUAAUAUAAAAUACAUACAAUUAUAAAUACAUAAAAUAACUGAGAGUUUAGCUGUCCUUUUUCUCAGAAUCUCGUAAAAAGCCCAGUAAUCUCACAAUACUCUUAUCCAAAAAAAAAAAAUUAUAAAUAAUAUUUCUUUAUUUUCAUAACUAUGAAAAUUGUACAUUCACACUGAAGGCAUCAAAACUAUGAAUUAACACAUGUGGAAUUAUAUAUGGAAUUAUAUACAUAACAAAAAAGUGUGAAACAACUGAAAAAAAUGUCAUAUUGUAGCUUCUUCAGAGUAGCCACCUUUUGCUUUGAUUACUGCUUUGCACACUCUUGGCUUUCUCUCGAUGUGCUUCAAGAGGCAGUCACCUGAAAUGGUCUUCCAACAGUCUUGAAGGAGUUCCCCGAGAGAUGCUUAGCACUUGUUUGCCCUUUUGCCUUCUGUCUGCGGUCCAGCUCACCCCUAAACCAUCUCGACUGGGUUCAGGUCCGGUGACUGUGGAGGCCAGGUCAUCUGGCGCAGCACCCCAUCACUCUCCUUCCUUGAUGCCUUCAGUGUGACUCUACAAUUUUCAUAGUCAUGAAAAUAAAGAAAACUCUUUGAAUGAGAAGGUGUGUCCAAACUUUUGGUCUGUAAUAUAUAUAUAUAUAUAUAUAUAUAUAUAUAUAUAUAUAUAUAUAUAUAUAUAUAUAUAUAGUAUUAUAAAAUUAAUUUAUUGUUUUAUUUUUAGAAGAUAUUUAUCACUGUAACAUGGCAUAUGCACUUCAGU
rnacentral:lncRNA from 1 species